GAUGAACGCUAGCGGCAGGCUUAACACAUGCAAGUCGAGGGGCAUCACGGGUAGCAAUACCUGGUGGCGACCGGCGCAAGGGUGCGUAACGCGUGAGCAACAUGCCCUAUACAGGGGGAUAAUCCAGGGAAACUUGGUCUAAUAUCCCAUAGCAUUUAGAGGUGGCAUCACCAUUAAAUUAAAGCUUCGGUGGUAUAGGAUUGGCUCGCGUGACAUUAGCUAGAUGGUGGGGUAACGGCUCACCAUGGCUAUGAUGUCUAGGGGUUCUGAGAGGAAGACCCCCCACACUGGGACUGAGACACGGCCCAGACUCCUACGGGAGGCAGCAGUGAGGAAUAUUGGACAAUGGAUGGAAAUCUGAUCCAGCCAUGCCGCGUGCAGGAAGACGGCCCUAUGGGUUGUAAACUGCUUUUAUAUGGGAGCAAUAAGGUUUACGAGUAGACCGAUGAGAGUACCAUAUGAAUAAGCAUCGGCUAAC
rnacentral:rRNA from 1 species